rnacentral:rRNA from 1 species
AGAUUGAACGCUGGCGGCGUGCUUAACACAUGCAAGUCGAGCGGUAACGCGGGAGCAAUCCUGGCGACGAGCGGCGAACGGGUGAGUAAUGCUUGGGAAUCUGCCCAUUAGUGGGGAACAACCAGCCGAAAGGUUGGCUAAUACCGCAUACGCCCUACGGGGGGAAAGCGGGGGAUCGUAAGACCUCGCGCUAAUGGAUGAGCCCAAGUCGGAUUAGCUUGUUGGUAGGGUAACGGCCUACCAAGGCGACAAUCCGUAGCUGGUCUGAGAGGACGACCAGCCACACUGGGACUGAGACACGGCCCAGACUCCUACGGGAGGCAGCAGUGGGGGAAUAUUGGACAAUGGGGGCAACCCUGAUCCAGCGACGCCGCGUGUGUGAAGAAGGCCUGCGGGUUGUAAAGCACUUUUAGUGGGGAUGAAAAGCUCAGGGUUAACACCUCUGGGUCUUGACCUAACCCACAGAAAAGCACCGGCUAACUCUGCGCAGCAGCCGCGGU